rnacentral:rRNA from 1 species
UAAUACCGCAUAGUAUCUGUGGAUUAAAGGUGGCUUUUGGGCUGUCGCAGAUGGAUGAGCCUGCGUUGGAUUAGCUAGUUGGUGGGGUAAGGGCCUACCAAGGCUACGAUCCAUAGCUGAUUUGAGAGGAUGAUCAGCCACAUUGGGACUGAGGCACGGCCCAAACUCCUACGGGAGGCAGCAGUGGGGAAUAUUGGACAAUGGGGGUAACCCUGAUCCAGCAAUGUCAUGUGUGUGAAGAAGGCCUUAGGGUUGUAAAGCACUUUAGUUGGGGAGGAAAGCUUUGAGGUUAAUAGCCUUGAGGAAGGACGUUACCCAAAGAAUAAGCACCGGCUAACUCCGUGCCAGCAGCCGCGGUAAUACGGGGGGUGCAAGCGUUAAUCGGAAUUACUGGGCGUAAAGGGUCUGUAGGUGGUUUGUUAAGUCAGAUGUGAAAGCCCAGGGCUCAACCUUGGAACUGCAUUUGAUACUGGCAAACUAGAGUACGGUAGAGGAAUGGGGAAUUUCUGGUGUAGCGGUGAAAUGCGUAGAGAUCAGAAGGAACACCAAUGGCGAAGGCAACAUUUUGGACCGGUACUGACACUGAGGGACGAAAGCGUGGGGAUCAAACAGGAUUAGAUACCCUGGUAGUCCACGCUGUAAACGAUGAAUACUAGCUGUUGGGGUCGGUGUAAAGGCUCUAGUGGCGCAGCUAACGCGAUAAGUAUUCCGCCUGGGGACUACGGCCGCAAGGCUAAAACUCAAAGGAAUUGACGGGGACCCGCACAAGUGGUGGAGCAUGUGGUUUAAUUCGAUGCAACGCGAAGAACCUUACCUGGUCUUGACAUCCUGCGAGCUUUCUAGAGAUAGAUUGGUGCCUUCGGGAACGCAGUGACAGGUGCUGCACGGCUGUCGUCAGCUCGUGUUGUGAAAUGUUGGGUUAAGUCCCGCAACGAGCGCAACCCCUAUUGAUAGUUACUAUCAUUAAGUUGGGUACUCUAUUGAAACUGCCGCUGAUAAGGCGGAGGAAGGUGGGGACGACGUCAAGUCAUCAUGGCCCUUACGACCAGGGCUACACACGUGCUACAAUGGGUAUUACAGAGGGCUGCGAAGGAGCGAUCU